GCUGCUGCUGCUGUUGGAGAAAGAACCUUCACUGAGGCUGUAUAGCCCAAGUGCUCCAGGCAGGUACCAGCUGAGUAAUCCCAGCUAACAAAAGCGACCAUGGCUACUCUGACGUGUGGGACGACGAUGCUAGCCAGGCCGUGCCAGUCCCUCCCACAGGUGGGGCCACCCCUCUGCCCCACCAAGUUGCCCCAGAAGCUGGAGAGGAAAAAACUCUGGGUCUCCAGACAACGGUCUGGAGAAUCCUUGAGGAUCUGGAAGUCCCCGCUGCUGCCUGGCCUGACCCCUCCAGGGAGCCUUGCUGACCCCUCCACGACUCAAGCUGCAUUGGCUGCCCCUCCGCUGCACUCUCCAAGUUCCCUGUGCUCCUGGAUCUGGCACGCAUUAUGCUGUCUCCAGAGUACUUGUGUUGCAAAGUGUCUGUCCCCUCUCAUCACUUCAGCUGCCUAUGGAUAGGGAUGGUGUCAUCUCUGAGCCUUGAUUCAUAAGACCUGCAUGGGGCAGAUGCUCACAUUGAAUGGACCAAUGAGUGGUGGUUACACUGUUUACCUGCGGGUGGAGUGGGGAGACUUCCUGUUAGCAAGUGCUUUUCCCACACUUGAGACUGCCUCUCUCCUCUCUAAGUCCUGGAUUUUAGGCCUCCUUCCCCUUCUACCCAAGCUCACCCCCCCUUGUCAUAACCUGAUGAGGGCUGAGGGAGGUGGUACAGGAGAUGAGUUAAGUGUGGGGCCACUUGCCAGCUAAGAACCCUUGACCCAAGUUUCCUUUUCUGGAAAACAGACAAUAACAGCACCUUCUUAGAGUGGCUAUAAGGACAUAACAAGCCCCUUCCCUCCCCCUGUCCACACUCAACAAGGGGCUCUAUUCUUUCCUGAAGGUCUGUGGUUGCCUCCGGAGGCUGGAGGGCAGCUCUGGAGUCUGGCUUGGCUUUCUAUUUGCAACCAUUCCAUAUCCCUUGUCCCCACCCCACUCCCUCCCUAGGGCCACACCUCUCCACAAUGCGGAAGCCAUGGGGUACUCUGGGAUUUAUGUCCGUGGUGUGUAGGGGAAACUCCUGGAACAAAUGAGCGGCUGUGCACGUGGUUGUGUUUGGUUUUGGACUCAGAGGGCACCUCUGGUUUUAUGGGUCUGUCCUUGGUCUUAUGCUGGCUGCCUGCCAGGUUCCAGGGGUCCACAUCCCUGGAAUCACUACCUAGGCCCAAGGUGGGGAGCAGAGACCGAUAACCCAGGUGUCUGGGGUUAUUAGCCAUCAGAAACAUGGAACCUGACAGCAGGAGAGUGGCCACCACUUUGCCCUGACAUCUGGAGGCCUUACUGCCCCACCCUCAGGUCAUCAUCCCCAAGGCCUGGCAGAUAUUUGUGUGAAGACAGAAGGAAUUUGGGUGAGGGCAGAGACCAGCAUGGCACCCACCCUUUUCCUCCAAUGCCCCUCCCUCUCCCAGCUCAGGGGCUUAGGAGUGUGGUAUGCAGCGGGGAUGGAGGGUAUGAACCCUAGAAGCAGACCGGCCUCAAUUUUAAUCCUAACUAGCUGUAUUGUGUGACCUUGGGCAAGUGACUCCAUUUUUCUGAGCCUCAUUUCAUAAGCUAUAAAAUGGGGAUAACAACAGCACAUAUCUUUUAGAGAGUUGUAAGGAUUAAACAAUUAAAUGGGAUUAAAUAACGAAUUAAUUUUAAAGGAUUAUAUAAUAAAAUUCAUGCAUGUACACAGUGAACAGUAAAUGGUAGUAUUACUCUUAUUAUCUGUCCCUUGCUGCGUUUCAAGCAUCUAUCCAGGAUACUUUAAUGUUGUCCAACCUAACAGAGUCUGAAUUUGUUUAACAUUUACAGUACCUUAGAGAGGAGCUCAGUGAGCUCAAAUGAGACGAGAAAGGUAGCCACUGGGUUCUGAGCAGGGUCUGCCACCCCUUUCUGGACCCCACCCCCUGCCCAGAGUGCCAGAUGGCCCAGCUGCUGUCCUUGCCUCUUCCAAAAGCUUGGGGAGGUCUUGCUGCAUCUUCCCAUGUGGGAAACUCAGGCAGGCAGGCAGCCCUGCCUACCAGGGACCAAAUGCACUGGCCUGGAGGCCAUAGGGUGUUCCUGUAACUAGAGAGCAGGGAUGGAAUGGGAUGAAUGCAGGGCCAGGAAGGUGAGAACAAGGAUCAUACCUUUGCUCGGUGCCACACUUCAGGCUUUCCAAAGAGGAUUCUCAAACUUUUCUCUCCACAGAAAUGGCUCAUGGGCAAUGACACCAGGAGCAGAGGAGGCCCCUUUUUCUGUGCUGGGGUCUCAGCACCAACCAGACCAGUGUUGUGGCCACCCUGAAUAUGGAGUGUCUGGCAGAAGGGAAGGCUUCUGGCAGAAGGGGAGGCCGAGAGACCCACAUCUGCAAAGGCCAGGGCCACAGGAAGAAAGCAGUGAUAUAAAGCACUUCCCAAAGUCCUAGGCUUGGGCCAAACUACGUAUAGCAACUCAAGGGUUAAUCCCCACCCCACCCUCAUCAGUCUCAUCCUAAAGAGAAAAGGAAGCAAAACAGAGACCACGGCUGCCUGAGGUGGCAGGCUGCCUUAUCUGUUGUGGCUGCUGCUGGAUAACCUGCGGCACUGCCAUGGGUACUUGUGUGCCAGCUGAGGGACAGGCAUUCCCAGGCGGGCCACCCUGGAGAUCCCCCCUGGUGAGAUCAAGAGGCAUGAGACAGAGGCUAUGCCCAAGGACUUAGGCCAGUUGGUGGCCCUGGACACAUUUGCUCCUUAAGGCUGAGGCCUGGGUCAAGCUCCCAGCAUUGCAUAGCACCCUCCUCCCAGCCACCAGCCAUGGGUUGGCACCCUGGUGAGGAGCUGGCCCUG
rnacentral:lncRNA from 1 species